ACUGUAACCCGAACCGGGAAAGAGGUUCCACCCCUAGAAACCUCCUCCUCCUAUCCUGGUCUAGAAGAUGGUUUAUCUGUAUUAAAUCAUACCAAACAAAGUCUUCCAAAGGCCGACUGCGCCCGGGACUUUUCGAGGCCUUUCUUACCUGCUCUUCUAGGAUGCGGCUGCUGCGCUCUGCGACGGCUCCUCACUAGCUUUAGCACCAGGGCCGCAGCGGCCCGCACACCCGGAGCUGCCCACUCACCCGCUGGCCGCGCGAUCCGCACAACAAAAGCCCUCACUCGUGGAGGGCCACCAGCACGCCGAAUCCGCACUGUGAUCAAAAACGCGCGCACCAUACUUCAGCAGCCGCCACCACCGCUGUGCUCCGAGGCCGCUGCGCCGCCCUUUGGCACCAGAGAGAUCUUCCACUCCUCCAAACCGGAUUAUUUAAAAGAGGAAAAAGAAAGGAAAAGCAAGGUCAUCUCAGCGCUCGAUCAGCCACUCAGGAGGCUGGAUGUCAGUUUUGAAAGAAAUGGCGCUACGCUCCACUUCUUGAUUUGGGAAACGAGCGAAAUUAAAGGAAACCGCUGCCUGCAGCCGACGCGACAUGUGGACACUGAGUGGCGCUGGCGCCGCCGGAGCAGCGGGCCUGGCGCCCCAGCAGGAUCUUUGGGGCGGGAGAACCUGUUUUACACCUAGGCUCCACACCUCCAGGAAGAGAGAAAAAGGGACGUCGGUGAAGAUCUCGGUCCCAGUCGCGUCCCACGGAGGCCGCUCCCCUGCACUCCUGCGCCCCCUGCCGGCGAGGCCCCAGGGCCCCAGCUACCUGGAUUGGGCGCCUUCCGAAGCGGUUGACUCCGUUGGGAUCCGCACCGGCUUCCAAGAGCUGCUGCACAGUGUCCACUUGCCCCCGCGCGGAGGCGUUGGCCAGGCCCGCGCCGUCGCCGCCACCACGGAGCAUGCCCUUGUCCUCCUCGCGCAUUUCGCAGUCCACAGACGCAGACUGGCCCGGAUAAUCCACCACUGGCUGUGAGCUUCGCCACACUCCUCCCUUCUUCCCCACCUCGCCCUGGCGCGCUCACCCCUACGUGGGAGAGCUCAGGCACGCAGAUAACAGAAAUGUGAGGCAAAAGAGCAAGAAAGAGGUAAGAGUAGAAGUGAAAUUUCAUCGUACUUAGGGCAGCUGUAACUAACAUGUGCCACAACGUUUUAGUUUUUGUUCUUUUCUUUACUUGACUGAGAUUUCACAUUUGAUUAUUUCAUGUAAAUUAGAGCGUGAUGGUGGCAGAUUGAAAAACUUUUUAAUCAAAUAUAUUUAUUAAUUAAACAAAAUAAUAAUCCCCAAAAAAGCAUGUUAGUGUAAUUGUGCCCAUUCUAAGAAUGCAGGAUCAAGUGAGAGAAAUCUGAUUAAAACACAUUUUCUUUUCUUUAGUUUUUGGUAUUCUGUUUCUCCAGUUGCUAAUCAGCAAGAAUAUCUUUGUCCUACUGAACCGAGGCAUUUGUUCAAAAGCCUUUGCGCUCUUUGGCAUAAGAGCCUAACUUAUUAAAGACAAAGUUCUCCUAGGUCUCUGCUAAAAAAUAGUGAAAUAAAUAUUUUUAUAAACAUAUUAUCUCAAAGUAUUAAUGCUGGAAGAGACCUACAGGACCAAAGACAGCUCCCUCCCUUUACAGAGAGAAAAAGGUUGAAACAGCAAUGAUUCUGAAAAAUUUCCUUGUGUUUUCAUAACUAAUAUUUUCAUCAUAAAGCUCAUGACAUGCACUUGUUUUUAUUUGCAUGCCUGAAUUUUGGUGGCUCUGAACCAUAUAUGAUGGCUCUGAGGACAAACCAUGUUUGUUUCCCGCCCUGCAAUUUUGGCAGUGUGCUGUGUACUUCCUUGGUACUGAGUAAUCAUUUUUCAACUACCUAAAAGUCUCUCUUUUGAUGAGAAGAAGAAUAAACCUCAUUCUUGUUCAGAUGUAGAGAUCAAGGAAAAGACUUCUGUCUUACUGGCUUCAGAUAUGUUAUCAGCACCUAAAGAAUGGAAAGCUGCAUUAGAGGAGGUUUCCCUUGGGAAGAGAGGCAUUGCAUGUGGCCCUGAGGAUGUAAAGUUGAAUAAGGAUGUUCCUGCCUUUCAAAUGCCAAUAAUCCUUGGAGAAGAUAUGCAAACAUGUGAACACUAUACAAUAUGAUAUGCAUGCCCUUCAAGUCCGUUUCUUAGCCUGUCCACAAACAGUUCUGUCAGCUGCACAGUGACCCGGAGUUCUGCAGCUCCACAUGAGUCUGGGGAAGGGGCAAAGACGCCGGCUGGGCAGCUUGCUGGAGCCAGGUGCUGUCUCCUCUCUAACCACGUUGGCCAGUGUGACCCUGCACACGUGAUGUUAGGGAGUUGAGACCUGGAAAGAUGAAAAGUGAUUUUCCCGAGCACCUAGAUCAUUGUCCUCUUCAGCAUCACAGUAGCAAACAUUUGCUUGCCUAGUGCCAACUACUGAUCUAGGCACUUCCCACGUAUUACUGUUGCUGGAGAGAGGUUGGAGCUAUGGCUGCUGGACUAAGUUGAGAGAUACCACGAAAGAGAAGAGGAUCCCGAGAGAUGUUGCGAGUUCUGACAGGUAGCAGCUUCACCUAUGGGGAGACAGGCUGGUUGUAAACCAGAAAACAGGUCAGGAACGCCUGAAAACUCUGCCCAUACAUUGUGAAGAACUUCCUGAGGAAGUUUCCUAAAUUGGACACCAAGUAUGAAGCGGACCCCUGGUGCCGGAUCUUGGUGUGCAAAAGAGGCAACUUGGACACAGAGACGGUGCAGAGAUGGCCAUGUGAAGACACAGACACACAAGGAGAAUGCCAUGUGAAGAAGGAGACAGAGGUUGGAAUGAUGUUUCUCUAAGCCAAGGAAUGCCAAGAAUUCCUGACCAUCACGAAGCUAGGACAGAGGCAUGGAGCAGAUUUCUCUCAGCGCCCUUUGAAGAUACAUCUUAACCGUCUAUUAUGGGUACGAAUUAUUGUCAAGAGAUGGAGAAGUAUAUAGUCUUGUGUGCCUCUUUGUCACGUGUCAAUACUGGAGAAGAAACUGAUCAUUAUUGGAAGAAGGAAGAAAAUACAGACGGAUGACAGAGGGAGGUAGAGGUCUGAGACUUCUAAAUGUGAUCAGAAGAAACAGUCAAAUAUUACUGAGCUGCUUUCUCCAAAGCUGUUUUGACCAGACCUUCCCCUCAGCUGCCUGUACUGAAUGCAUGAAUAGAAUCGCUUCCAGAUCUUUACAACAUUGUGCUGGUGAAUACAGACUAAUUACCCAGUUGAAUGGUGACUGCAGCAUUGGCUGACAGCAAGACUGAAACCUCCUGUGAGACCCUGAACUCCUGUUAGAUGCUGAACUACUCAGUGCAUGCUGAUGAAGCACCACGAGGGCUGUUUCCACCGCCUCUGUAUCUUCAAGAAGACUGGGUCAAUCCUGUUCAUCAGGGCAAUUCCUGGAGCUGGUUUCUGUAGGUACUCUAGAAGAAAUUCCCACUAGGUUUGCUCUUUCUUUCUUUCUUUCUUUCUUUUCUUUCUUUCUUUCUUUCUUUCUUUCUUUCUUUCUUUCUUUUUCUUUCUUUCUUUCUUUCUUUCUUUCUUUCUUUCUUUCUUUCUUUCUUUCUUCUUUUUUAUAGGGCAUGCAAGGAAUAGCUCUGACUCUUAUCAAGAAUGACCAAGGACUCUGGCUGAACUGCCUGAGCACAUGAAAUCCACCAUUCUUAAAACAUAUGCAGAUAGUGGCUCAUCACAAUUAUGUAUUUCAUUUCACAUAUAUCAUUGGAGCAUAAGUUCAAAAAGUACUACUAUUGGUAUCAGUUUUAUUUUCAAGACCUACAGGCUUCAAGCACUUUAGAGAGUAGUCUGUUGGCUGAAAGAAAAUGUCUCUUUAUAAAGUGGCUUUUGUUUAAUGAUUCUUAAGCUUUAUAAGGCAGACCCAGAGGUACUUACCAAGACCUUAGUGUAGUAAACUAGUGCUUCUUAAACUAUUUAUGGUGAAGGAUAUUUUUCUUAACCAAUUCUUUUUUGCAUUCCUCCAUUUUAAGUUUAUGACUUCAUUUUCUUCUCUCUCUUGGUUUGUAACUUAAAGGGGACAGAGUUUAUCAGGUAUUGACUUAAUUUAUUGUUUCUCUUGUUUUUCCCCUUCCCAAGUAUAGGCAUCAAGAGCAAUAAAUCUCCUCUACGUACUACAUUGGCAGCAUCCCUGUAGACUCUUGUAAUUUUUUUCUGUUGCAUCUUAAAUGUCUCCCCAACCAAAAGUUUAUUUAAGAAGAAUUUACUCUCCUAAAUGCAAUAAGAAAAAGAGCUGAAAAAGAGGUACAACUAGAGGAAGGAAAUGGCAUACGAUAAAAUGAUCAGUUGUUGAUAUUAUGAUAUUACACCCAAGAUAAUCAAAUGAAAAUUAGUCAACACUUAGUUAAAGUGAAGAGAUGUAAAAUAAAUAUUACCAAAAUGAUUCCUUUCGUCCUUUAUACUAAGAAUUAGAAAACAAAACAGUAGGCAGACCCCAUACACGAUAACAACUAUAAAAAUAAAUCAUCCUAAAAUUAGUUUACCAAUAAAUAUGCAGAAAGUAUAUGAAAACUACAAAAUUUACUACGAGUUAUAAAAAGACAAUGGGGCACCUGGGUGGCUUAGUUGGUUAAGCU